UAUAGUGUUUUAUGGCACUUUUUAAAUCCAUAUCCACCUUGUGUGCAAUGUCAGUCGAUCUUCUUCAUGGAGAUCGACCAAACAUCAACCUUUAUCUUUUAACUCUUGUCUGAAAAUAUUAUGAACUAAGCAAUUCAAAAUA
rnacentral:misc_RNA from 1 species